rnacentral:rRNA from 1 species
GAUGAACGCUGGCGGCGUGCCUAAUACAUGCAAGUCGAGCGAACAGAUAAGGAGCUUGCUCCUUUGACGUUAGCGGCGGACGGGUGAGUAACACGUGGGUAACCUACCUAUAAGACUGGGAUAACUUCGGGAAACCGGAGCUAAUACCGGAUAACAUUUGGAACCGCAUGGUUCUAAAGUGAAAGAUGGUUUUGCUAUCACUUAUAGAUGGACCCGCGCCGUAUUAGCUAGUUGGUAAGGUAACGGCUUACCAAGGCGACGAUACGUAGCCGACCUGAGAGGGUGAUCGGCCACACUGGAACUGAGACACGGUCCAGACUCCUACGGGAGGCAGCAGUAGGGAAUCUUCCGCAAUGGGCGAAAGCCUGACGGAGCAACGCCGCGUGAGUGAUGAAGGGUUUCGGCUCGUAAAACUCUGUUAUUAGGGAAGAACAAAUGUGUAAGUAACUGUGCACGUCUUGACGGUACCUAAUCAGAAAACCACGGCUAACUACGU